GGGUGCGAUCAUACCAGCGUUAAUGCACAGGAUCCCAUCAGAACACCACAGUUAAGCGCGCUUGGGCUAGAGUAGUGCUGGGAUGGGUGACCUCCCGGGAAGUCCUAGUGUUGCACCCU
rfam:Picea glauca, whole genome shotgun sequence.